AGGACGAACGCUGGCGGCGUGCCUAAUACAUGCAAGUAGAACGCUGAAGGAGGAGCUUGCUCUUCUGGAUGAGUUGCGAACGGGUGAGUAACGCGUAGGUAACCUGCCUGGUAGCGGGGGAUAACUAUUGGAAACGAUAGCUAAUACCGCAUAAGAGUAGAUGUUGCAUGACAUUUGCUUAAAAAGGUGCAAUUGCAUCACUACCAGAUGGACCUGCGUUGUAUUAGCUAGUUGGUGAGGUAACGGCUCACCAAGGCGACGAUACAUAGCCGACCUGAGAGGUGAUCGGCCACACGUGGGACUGAGACACGGCCCAGACCUCGUACGGGAGCAGCAGGUAGGGAAUCUUCGGCAAGUGGACGGAAGUCGUGACCGAGCAACGCCGCGUGAGUGAAGUAAGUUUCGAUCGUAAAG
rnacentral:rRNA from 1 species